GAGGGCAUGGCUUAGUGGUACGGUGCAUGCUUAGCAUGCAUGAGGUCCUGGGUUCAAUGCCCAAUACCUCCA
rnacentral:tRNA from 1 species